UACGGAGGAUCCGAGCGUUAUCCGGAUUUAUUGGGUUUAAAGGGUGCGUAGGCGGCUUUUUAAGUCAGCGGUGAAAUUUUGCAGCUUAACUGUAACAGUGCCGUUGAUACUGGGGAGCUAGGAUUUGGUUGCUGUGGGUGGAUGUGUGGUGUAGCGGUGAAAUGCUUAGAGAUCACACAGAAUAUCGAUUGCGAAGGCAGCUCACAAAGCCAAGAUUGACGCUGAGGCACGAAAGUGUGGGGAUCAAACAGGAUUAGA
rnacentral:rRNA from 1 species